ACCCCCUUUCCCUGACCCCCUGCCCUCCUCCGGCGAGCCCGUCGUGAUGGAGACCACCCUGUCGCUGGCCGGAUUGUCGCCACGCUCUCUUCUUGAAACCAUUCCAAUUCGCAUCACGCAAUUCCGGAAAUUCCCGAUCAACCCGGAGGAGUAUCAGAUGAAAAGAGCUCGGAUUCGGUUCUUGAAGAAAACAAGGAUCAGGACGAGGAUCCUCGGUCGGCCGAAGAAGAAAUGAUUCCUCCGGCAGACGGGGGCAUCGACAAAAGAUGACUCCUUUGGGUCAAUUGAGGAGAAAUUGGAACUGGCGAGAACGCGGAUAUCCAAAAGGCGGGAUUUGCUUAAGAACAAGGUGGCUUCAGUGUCAGCGGAGAGGAAGGAGCUGGCGAGGAGGCGGAGGAAAUCCACUGAGAGUGUCAAUUUUUGGAUCGGAGAGAUGUAGGGAGCUGGAGAGGGAGCUCGAGGAGGCCUGCGAGGCUUGAGAGGAUUUUGAGCGGGCAGAGAGGGUCAGCGAGAACCUUGCGGCAGUCGAGAAGGAGAAGGAUGAGCUGCUGGUCAGAUUGAGGCAAGUGGAGUUGGAGUGCGAUUAUGUGGAGUCAAAGAUGCAGGAAGUGCUGGAGUAGCAGAUAGCGGCCGAGGAGGAAAGUGUGGCUGUGCUGGAGCAGUUUGCAAAGCUGGGUCACUUUGGCUCAUGAUAACCAUGUCGCCUCAGAUCGGUGGUUAUCGUGAAUGCCUCGGAUCGGCAUGGUGUCACAGGCUACUUCAAAUUUUCGAGCUGCCGCCACGGCCGCCAACCAUUAUGCAAAGCUGAGGUGUCUGUGCUGUCCGUUUAGCAUACGAGCCACUUUUAUUGCCUCGGCCGACUUAUUUUCUCGACAUGCGCAACAGCUAUUCGCCCUGAAUGAAUAGGUUCUGACGUAACUGACUCUCCUAAUCUUGCAAGAGCAAUUAGGGGCUGGAUUAUUUUGUCCACAAUGGUAUGUCCAAUGCCCUGCAAUCUUGGAAUCGCACGAUCGAACAGCUAUGCAACCAACUGUUUGAUAGCCUUCUAUAUAAAUAACCGAAGCCCCGAGGACCGAAGAUCCUCGUCAGAGCCACAACCUCUAUUUUGGACUUGUUUUGCAGAUUACUCCAGCGCCAGCAACCCUGCGCGAGGUUCAGUCAUCCUCUUUCCGACCUCGACCGAUUUCAACAGCAACAAUAAGUUAAUCAAUUACAUUGGAUUGGGUAACUAACCUCUCAAUCUAGUUAUGCAUACGCAGAAAGAGAUAUGUUCAGAUUAGUGCUUCUUCUACUUGGAAAAAUAGAGGAGGUGUGGAAGGCUUUAGUGCCAACCACUCCCGGCCCCAUAUGUGAGAUCCCAAUGGUGAUGGCAACCCUUCCCCUCUCCAACAGCUACACUGACCGCCGACAGUACAACAAGCCUGGCGACGACAGCCGGCUUGAAGCACUACAAGAAAAUGGACCUUUAACUGAGAUGAUCUGUAUGGAUACUGUUAAUUCUGCAGUUCUGGUUUAAAAAAAUGCUGAAGACACAUCUUCCCAAAAAUUAGAAGAAUGGCAAUCAUCAAUGGAAAUCAUUGGAGAUCAAGAAGCUAGAGAUGGAAAUUGAAUCAUGUCUACUAUUUGAGGCACGUUUGGUUUUGAAACAUGCAACAGAUAGUUUGGUUGAAGAUGACGAGAAGGAAAAAGAAUGCUGACGAGAAAAGGGUAUAGCCUAGCAAAGGAAUUGGAUGAACUAUUAACCUUGGUGUGAUUGAAGGAAGCAGAGAUUGCUGAGAGCCUGAGAAUAAUUCUCAAAUUCAAAAAGUUGAGAAAAGAAUUUCUAAUGUGGUUCCAAGUUUCAUGAGACAAUCUAGUAUCAAUUUCAAGCAUGACAACCUGCAGACAGUCCUUUUGAAGGUUGAGUUAGAAAGUGAGGCAUUAUUAGUGAAAAAGAAGGAAAUUGAUGAAUUUAUUUAUCUAGCAGAAUAAAGGAGGUUGAAAUUGAUGGAACUUGCUAGUGUUUCUGCUGAUGAAGCGAAAACUUGUAGGACUUGGUUGGGUUGAGAAAGAGUUUGGCAGCUUCCAUUCUGAAGUCCAGGGUAGAUAAAGCAAAGCUGGCAAAGAUGGAAGAGAAUUUUGGAGGACAUCCAAAUACUCAAACAACAUAUCUCUGCUUCAAGAACUACUCUGCAGGAACUAUCAUCAUCGAGGACAAUCAUCGAGGAAGAAAUUGUUUCAUUUUAAGUAGAGAAUAAACUUUAUUGACAAAAGAGGCCCUGAGCUGGAUGCGGAAAAGAAAGUUGCCGCUGCAGCAUGAAAUUUCAAGGAAGCGGGGCGAAUAGCUGCUGAGGUGAAGGCACUGAAUAUUGAAAAGGAAGACUUAAAAAUUAAAAGGGGGAAGGCUGUUUUAGACCUGGAGAAGUUAGAGGAGGAUAUGAAAAGUGUCCUUGACAAAAUACAGAAGAGCCAAAUGCUAAUUUCACAAAAAUAAAAAGGGGCAGCCAUGACAACUUUUAAGAGGCUCCACUUGGUGGCUGCUGCUGCUAGGGCAGCAGCUCUUAAAAUAGGUGAUGAUGAAGAAGUCAGCAUAUUACUCAAGGAGGCUGAAAGUGCAGAAUGCAAGGCAAGGGAGUUUCAAGAAGGCUACGACCUUGAAUCAGAAGACAAGGAGACAUUGGACCAUUUUGUUUCGAUAGCAUAUAUUGCCAAUCUUGGAGAACAGCAUUUAGCUGAAACGGCUUCAUCUUAAAACUACCUGUAGCCAAGCCAGUGGAUGACAACUAUAGCUGGUCAUAAUCCAGUCUGAAGUGCAAUGUGCUAAACUUGCCAGAUUGAUUGGAACUUUUCUUCAAAGAUAGAUCAUGGAGUCCAAUCAUUUUCAGUUGCGACUGAUCUUUUUAGGCAUUUUUGUUAGCACGAGCAAGUCCUUUUGUUUCUUAAAUCGAGAUAUGAAGCAGCUUGAGAUUUUAUUUUUUUUUCUUAUUUUGUUUAUAUUUGAGCUUGGGUGUCUAUGCUUUUCACCCAUUUAGUUUUAUAGUUGAGUCAAUUUGUAACUUUAAUUUCAGUAAACUUAAAUUGUAUGCACUGGAUGAUUUGCACAUAUCAAAAUCACGGUAAAACAUUCAAGAUUAAAUCUUAUAUGUUA